ACCUGGGCAGCAAAGCAGCGAGCUGGCGGGUUCACGUGAAAACCAGAGACGCGCUCCGGCAACCGCCCUCCUCCGGCGCCACGCAGCCAAGGGCGGCGUUUUUCUCUAGCCCCCGGAGUCCCCCGCUCGCUGCCGUGCUCCGGACACCUGCGCUUCAGCACCGCAGAGAGAAGUAGGUCCCUCUUGGGUAGGCAGGGAGAUUGCAUCCAGAUCCCUUUCUGCUCACCCCUGUGCGAGGUCUGCGGUGCCUCAAUCAAGUUAAAGGGCGAGGCCUGGGUUUGGAAGCCUCGGCGAGGAGAGAAUGGGAAGAAGGGCUGCCAUGGCUUAAUUGAAGCCUCCUGUGCUAGGAAUAGAAAGCGGGGCAGGGGCCAGAACUUUGCUGCCACCACGUCCGACUUCCCCAUUCCAAACAGAGUCAACACCCGCUUCUAACUGUGGGCGUCUGUGUCCACACAGGCAGAGGGAAGCAGAGGGCUGACUUACGAAGCUAGCCAACACAGUCACUCUGGAAAAGUCCACCUUGCCUAGCCCUUUGCACUUUGUUUUGGACAAACGCUGCAGGCCGGCUGUAGGUCUUGCUUGUGAACAAGGCACAACCCUGCAGGAACCGUUCACAGUUGCUCCCAACACGGAAGGUGCCUUGGGGCCUGUGCCCACAGAGAGCCACUGCUACCCUGAGGGGACUUCGAGGAUCCAAUUAAUACAAAAAAAGAGGCCUGCCUCCCUGAUUCACCUAGGAGGAAAAUGCAAAAUUCCCCACCUUCCCCCCACCACCCUUUCCCCCACGUUUUAGAAAAUUACAAAACCUGUACUUGAAAGAAAAUUUGAUCACUACUGUUAUGAAACCAGUAAACAUCACUUACGAACAUCACAGCUUCGUAAAGCCAAACUGGAAAAGAAAUUUGCCCAUUUUCCACUUGUAGAAGGUAUUUGUUUCAGUGGGUGUCGCUGCAGGAAGAGACAUCAGCAAACGUCUUGCUCAGUUAAACUCCACAAGUUGAGCUAGAUGAGCCCAGAGGGACCUGUGAGUUAAUUAUAUACAUACAAUGCUUCGGCUCACACAAUUUAGGAAGUAUUUGCAGUUCAAAAAAAUGGGAAAACAAGUUUUUAACCGAGGUUGGGAAUCGCCAUUAGAUUUCCACGGAGAGUGGAUGCUUCCGGCAGAUGGAAAAUGGCACCGUCCCCAUCUCCAGAAAGCCAGAUGAAGAAGAGAGUAGAAAUAUUCUUUGAUGUAAUUUUUAAGGGAAGUUCAGCUUACGAUGGAUUUCAUUUUAUGCUCGUCUGGUGGCUGAGCCUCACAGAAUUGUUUGACUACUUGUUCAAAUUUCACAAAUGAGAUUCCAGUAACCAAUUUAACCCACCACUUCAGCCUCAGCUCAUGGUUGGUUCCUCCACAUGAUGAACUGGACCCAUCACCAGGUCUCCGGUGGUCGGCUCACCUGCAGUUACACAGUUCAGCUUCUCUUGCCGAUCAGCGUUAUGGGGAAGGGGCAGGCAGAGGUGGGAAAACGCUAAGUUCCUCUCAAAGUGGUAAGAAGACAGUGUGCCUUCUGCUGAAAUGACUUAAAGGUGUGACAGGAGACCUUGGGACAGUAUUUGCAAGUUCUCCCCUUAUCUUCCUGGAAUGUGGGCUACCUUGGAACAGAGCUGCAUGAUGAACUGGGUAGGCCCACUGGCCAAGUUUGUGCUUGAGUAAUUUUCCACUCUAACCAAUGGGAGAAAUAUCCCCUGCAUAGAUUAAGCUUCCUUUUCAUGUUUCCAGCAAAAUACCUCCUCUAUUUAUUCAACGAUCCCGGAAAAACAGAGAGAUCUCCAUGGAUUAAGUUGACUCCAACUUUUCAACUUUGUGGACCACUCUUUUCUGCCAUGAUCAAUGGAGACUAGACCCUGGCUCAAAACCAAAAGGACUGUUGGCUUUGUGCUUGAACACAAUGAUGUGUGGUAAAGGAGGUAAGGGUAAAGGUAAGGUAAAGAAGGCCCGUACAAUCCUGUGGUGGUAAGAGGACAGUAUAGACCAUUUCUCAGAAGACCUGCUGAACUUUCUAGUCCUCCAAUAUGUCAAAUUCUUUCCACAAGCUUUUGAAAGUUGCACAUGCCAUUCCCUAAGCUCCUUCCUCAUGUUCUUGGCAUUCUCCAGCAUGUCAGCUGAACUGUCCCUACUUCUCUGAGGCAUUACAUGACCAGACCACAGUCUCUUCCUCAGACAGCAUGAGCAGGAAAGGGGCAGAGAGAGAGACACACACGGAAUCCGAAGCAGGCUCCAGGCUCCGAACUGUCAGCACAGAGCCCAACGCGGGGCUUGAACCCACGAACUAUGAGAUCAUGACCUGAGCUGAAGUCAAACACGUAACCAACUGAGCCACCCAGGCACCCCAAUGUCACUCUUUUUUGAAAGCGAUUUUGAUUUGUCUCUCUUAUGAAUGAAUAUCCUCUAAGUUGAAAAUCACUUACUAUUGUGUUGGUGAAGUUGUGGCAAAAUUGGAACCUUUGCACACUGCUUGUGGGAUUGUAUAAUGGUGCAGCAAUGAAUGGUUUGACAGGUCUUUAAAUUGUUAAACACAGCAUAUGACCCAGCAAUGUCACUUCUAGGUAUAUACCCAACAGAAUAGAAAACACUUGUUCACACCAAAACCUAUAGAUGAAUAUUCACGAUGCAACAUUAUUCAGGAUAGCCCCAAAGUGGAAAUAGUCCAAAUGUCCAUCAGCUAAUAAAUGGAUAAAGUGAAACAUAUCCAGGGGAUGAAUUAUCAUUCAGCUAUAAAAAGUAAUGAAGUACCAAUACAUGCUACAACAUGGAUCAGUGGUGAAAACAUACUAAGUGACAAAAGACCUUAUAUGAUUCCAUUUAUGUGAAAUAUUCAGGAUGGGCAAAUCCAUAGAGAUAGAAAGUAGAUUAGGUGCCAGGGACUGGGUGGGGGAAUGGGAGUAAAUGCUUAUGGAUUAGGGGUUUCUCUCCGGGGUGAUGAAAAAGUUCUAAAUUAAAUAAGGGCAACGGUUGCAUAACUCUGAAUAUACUAAAGCCACUGACUUGCAUACUUUAAAAAAAGUGAAUUUGUAUGGUAUAGUAUCUCAAUAAAGCUGUUAUUAAAGAUUUAAAAAUCUCUGCUAUCAUAAGCCACUGUUGCUUCUUGGGAGUAUGAUAUAUCCUUUGGGCUAAUACUGGCGCAGGAAAAAUUUAAAGGUAUGUAAUGACAAGGAUAGACGUCUAUGUUACGUUGUUGAGAAAGUCAAAAAACAAUGUAUACUGACCAAUUUCCUCUUUCCUGGUGAAAAAAAAGUGUGGAAAAAUAUGUGUUUGCCAAAAUCAAUAUAUAAAUGUACGGUGUGGUGGUUA